rnacentral:rRNA from 1 species
GACGAACGCUGGCGGCGUGCUUAACACAUGCAAGUCGAACGGACAGACAGAGAGCUUGCUCUCUUGAAGUUAGUGGCGAACGGGUGAGUAACGCGUAAUCAACCUGCCCUUCAGAGGGGGAUAACAACGGGAAACCGUUGCUAAUACCGCGUACGAUUCAUGAACGGCAUCGUUUAUGAAUGAAAGGUGGCCUCUAUGUAUAAGCUAUCGCUGAAGGAGGGGAUUGCGUCUGAUUAGCUAGUUGGAGGGGUAACGGCCCACCAAGGCAAUGAUCCGUAGCCGGUCUGAGAGGAUGAACGGCCACAUUGGGACUGAGACACGGCCCAAACUCCUACGGGAGGCAGCAGUGGGGAAUCUUCCGCAAUGGACGAAAGUCUGACGGAGCAACGCCGCGUGAGUGAUGAAGGUCUUCGGAUUGUAAAGCUCUGUUAAUCGGGACGAGAGAGUUCUGCGUGAAUAAUGCAGAAAAGUGACGGUACCGGAAUAGAAAGCCACGGCUAACUACGUGCCAGCCGCCGCAGUAA